UGGGGGAUCGUCUAGCGGUAGGACAGCUGACUCUGGAUCAGCCAGCCGAGGUUCGAAUCCUCGUCCCCCAGCCA
rnacentral:tRNA from 1 species